UGUGUACCUGUACCUUAGCAUAGCAAAAGGCACUGUAAAGAUGGCCUGGACCUACAGCAUUCUACAAAAGAGGACAGAUAAAUUGCAAUGUAGUGUUUUUCUUCAUUUGAAUUAAAAGAUGACCUCUGUUGUACUAUUUGAACAAACAGGUUUUGGAACUGAAGUCAACUCGUUAAUCAAAUAAUUUAAUCGUUAAUUUUUCCUAAAUAUUUAAAAGUCUUUAUCUAAAUAAACCAUUGGUAUUAAGAAAGUUAAAGUUCAUGGAUUUGGAUAGCAGUUCUCUGGUUUGUCUAACUGGGCAUUGCCUUAUACAUAUAUAAAAUAAAUUCUAGUAAAUAGUUGUCUGUAUGAACUCCCAAGCAGGUAGAUCAGUUUUCAAGCUUGGAUGUACAAUUCUUUGGAUGUACUUCAUUGCAAGAGCCAAAUUCCUAAUCACAAUGGUCGAGAACCAUGAGAAUUGUUGUCCUAAGAGAUUUAAUCAUAGAGUAUUACAUGAAAAUAGCUGAAAGAAUGUACUAAGGCAGGAGGGGUGAUCAAACUUGUGGCCUGCAGGCUGGAUGGAUCACGCGCUGGCCAUGCCCAUCCCCGUUUUUGCUGGGGGGGGGGAGUCGUGAUACGUCAUGUGACAAUGCGACGCCACGAGUUUGACACCCCUGUACCAAGGGAUCCCACUGAGAUCGGGAUGAUAGUUGAAAAUAUCUGUGCAUACUUUUAAUACCAUAGAAAUGGUAUGGAUCGCUGUAUAUCAUCCAUAUUAAGAACAUACAGUGAUAACGUUAGGAUUGGAGCAGAUAACUAUGAUUGCUGCAGUGUUAUAUCUGCAACUCCAAAAGUGAGAGCAAAACAUUCCCAGUUCUUCAGGCCAGAUUAUUUAUACUGCAUGCAAUGGUUGUGGAUGCAGGAGCUGUGUCUUUGCACAAAGUUGGGUUUUGGCCAGAAGGUCAUCAUUCUAAGAACCAUUUUAGAGUAGCUAGCUUAGAGCAGAAAUGUGAAUCAUGCCAAGGGAGGCUAUUGUGCCAGCAGUUUGCAUCCAUAGGUUGAGAAUCCCUUUGCUAAGAGAGUCAGCAAACUCAGCAGAGUGGAAAUAAAUGUAGGCUUGUUUAAGAAAGAUGUAGCCCUGUUCAGUGACUCUUAUGUUUUGUUUUUGUGUGUGUGUGUGUGUGAUGGGAUGGACAAACCCUUCCUUCAUUAUUCUCAUAUAUGAAGGGUAGCUGUACAGCAAGACUUCUCCCUGGGUUACAGAAUCUUUGAACAAUUGAUUUCAAUGUGGAGGAAACAACAAGAGCAAGAAGAAUUGAACUACUAGACAUUCCUCUUUUUCCUCACAUGUAGAGCUGUGAGCGAAUGCCAUUUAAUGUGCUUUCAUGUUAUUUACAUUUCUGUAAAUUCUCCUGUCUGCAAUUAAUUUUAUUUUUUAUAACAAAACGAGUAAGUAGUUUGCUUGAGACUAAUGUUCUUUCAAAUAUUCACUGAAAUGUUUUUAUAUUUAUAGCUUGUAAAUUUCAAAUCUGAAAGCUCCUAAUAAACUCACACCAUUUUUAAAAUUUAUAUCAUUUUCAAAAUGCUUUAACAAUGAAUUUGCAGCUGCAGGACACAUUCAUAAUUAUAAAAAUGUAGUCCUGUUAAACCUCAACUCAUCCAUUCCUUCUGUGCUAGCAAUCCUUUCUGCCUGUCAUUACUGAGCAGCAAAAAUGAAAGAGGAAAGCGCCUCCUUAGAGUUAUGUAUAAAAAUUCUCUUUUUAUAAUUCCACCUAUUGUUAAGCAUCAAAUAUUUCUUGUCUUGCCCAAAUAAAUCCAGCUUGGACUGGAUUUCACUUCAAGAGAGAAAAAUGAUCAAAAUGAUGCCAUGUCUAAUUAAGGAGCUCAAUUGAUUGCGUGUCCAUUGGAAUUUAAAGCAGCAUUCAUUUGCAAUGCAUUUAUGUUUAUUACACUGACAUUUAGUGAGUUAAUCAGUAAAACCAAUCAAAACUGUUUUAUUGCUAAAAUGGAACCUUGCAUAAUUGACCAACUUUUUAAUCUUGUGUGUGUGUAUGUGUGUGUGUAAUACACGCACACAAUUUAGGAAGAAAGCCCUAUCUUGGAAGAAGCAUUUAUUUUUCUCACACUCUGAAACAUUCUCUAGGUUAUGCUAUGAUUUUUUUAAAAUAACAAGUAGGUUUUUUCUCUGUAAAGCUAUUUUGUUUUAUUCAGACUCUAUUUCAGUUUAUCAUUUAGCUGGCUUGCUUAACUAUGUCUCUGACUAUAGCCUGAGUUCUUACAUACUGUAAAAAGUAGAAUAGUAUCUUUAUUUUGUUAUGGGUGGGUCUGGCUAGCUACUUCUGAUUUCACCCAUCACAAACAGAUCUUGGAGUAUAGUUUUAAGGCUUAAAUUCAGUUAGUGCUACACAAAUAGGGGAUUUUGCUGCUAUGUUUAUAUCUUCAGCUCUGUAAUACUGAGUAGGGAAUUCCACAUAAAUAAUCUGACAUUGCUCCCAGGAUUUUCAUCCUUAAAUGUUUCAAAUCUUGACAAAACUCCGAGAAAUAUUGAGAUAUUAACUGCAGCUCCACAUUAUCUACCUAACUUGGAAUUCUAAGUGUACGUAUAACACACAAGCAGCAAAAAUAAUUUAGGAAUUCAUUAAUGCCAAUUAAAUUCAUUUGAGAACAACACCUAGAGG